CUAUAAUAUCAUCAUCGUCAUGGCCGCUAGCAGAACAGUUCUUUUAUCCCGUCCAAUUUUUUAUUGAAGGGGCACCUCUCCUACUGGAGGAUUUUCGUCAAACCCGGUCGAAACGCCAAAUGCUCCAUUUCAGGGGAAGCUCUCACUUUCUACGACCGAAUUUGGCCAAUCUGGGACUGAACAUGGCCUUUUU